GCCCUGUCAGGACUCUGAGUCCAAGGGGCCUUAAUUCCCCUGACCACAUUUACCUGGGCUCCCCACCCACCCCUCUGCCCAUGAGCCCCAAGCUCUAUUUAAGCUCAGACUUGGGGUUUUUCUGGGUGGGAUGGCUGAUAUUUUUACAGCUAUCUCUGGAGUGCCUGGUUUGUUUAUGGAUCUGCUCUUGUUGAGGGCGAAGCUGAACCUGGAGAAGGAUGUUCUCAGGAAGAAAUGAGGUACUGCCUGCAUGAAUAACUUGAAGGCAUUGAUGAUUUUAAGGAUGGAGGAAAAAUACACACGUGGAAAUGCUGAAGUUGGUUCUGUCUCUGCUGUCUACGAAGAUGCUGUGUUAGUGUUGCAAAGCACCACAAAUUAUAAUCCCACCACUGGGCAUCCUUCUGAAUGCUGUGUCCUGAAAGAAAUACUGCAGCUGAUUUAAAAUACAGGCGGGAAACCAAGCACAAGUACUAAUCGUGGAGCAUUAGGAUUUGAGAGAACAUAUGUUCAGAAUCAGGUGUAUACAUAGGAGUUGGCAUCAGUGGCUAGGAAGGAAUGGAAGCAGCCUUGGCCAAUGACUGACAGCCCAGCUCAAAUACCUCCAGGGGAUCUUGGAGAUUCCGGGCAGGCAUUCCUGUUUGAAAAUAUGCAAGUUCUUAUGUUUUCUUCCACAAAAAUUUUGCUUUUGAACUGCUGUGUUUCUGCUCUGUCAUCUGUGACUUCUCUACUCAGACUCUGACAUAAGUGGUGACAUAACUUGGAGGAGGAUUGUUCCUUGAUGUGGCUGGGCACUGAGAUGAGGCUGACUGCCUGGUAACCCCCAUGGCGAUCCUUAUCUUUUAAAAUGGGCUAUGAGUUCCAAAGUGCCUACUUUCUAUACCAAGAGUGAUUCAUGCUGCCUCUAAGACUUGUGUAUGUGGUUCCAGAAGAUCAUCGUCAGCAUACCUGUCAGAAUUCAUAGCUGAGAAGAGCUACAGUAAAGGAAAGCACUUGCAUAACUGGACAAAUAAUGUCACAUCCUUUGCUAUCAAAGUUUGAGUAUUUGUGAAUUUACCCAAGAAGGAUAAUUCUCAUCAGGAACCAACCUGGGCCGUGGGCUAUGAAACAGAAUUAUUGCUGCCACUGUCCCCCAGGUAGCAGAUCCCUGCAAUGGCCUGUUCUGGAGAGCCAGCUAGAGUAUUUCAAUUUUACCUUGUAUUGAUGACUUCUGGGGCUGCCAUUCUUCAUGAUGAUGUUGAUUUACUCCAGCAUGUGUAUGGAAGCCAACAUGUCUGACUUCAUAUGAGAUAAACCGUCAAGUUUAAUGUCCAGAUUGCUAUCCUGGAAUGAAAGAAGCAAGGACAUAGGGUACGGUGUCCAAGGGUGUGGUGAACACUGGUUACAAGGACUUGCCAAGUAGAAUGGCUACUCAAGCCAGUAGCCUUUUUUCCAACAACAUCUUGAAAUUAUUAAAGCUGUUUCUCCUGAGAAAGAAUAUUUUCACUUUGAACAAAAGGACGAUUUAGAUUAUAGGGCUAUUGAUCAUGUCAUUAGAAGAAUUUGGGUAAUAAAGAUCAAGGGUUAUAGUAAUCAGUAAAAGGUAAAGGCCAAAUCCCAUUCUAUUUACUCAUGUGAGUAAUUCCAAUGAUUUCAGAAGGACAAAGAAGUCAUCAUGACAGAGCUUUGCUGAAACAGCCAGCCCAUAAUAUAAAGAAAGCUCAGUUGAGUGCUGUGCUGGAGGGAUGGCAGGGCUGUCUACUCAGAGCACUUCUGGAUCUGGGAACACCCCUGGUACAACUGAGGUGUCAAAACUUCAGGAGCAAGCAGCACUGAAGCACUGAAAUCUUCAGCAGAACUUCUGGGGUGCCUCUGGGUGGCACACUGGGCAUCUGCACUUCUUGUAAGACUUGGCUCUGGUCACUGGUGCAAAUGACACAGUAAACUCAGCAGCACAGGAAGAUCCCAAUUCUGUUAUCAGUAGCAUGCCAAUACUGGAACUUUGGAAAACAAAACAAGGUAAGGGAAGCACAGGAUCAGAGAAGGAGCAGGACUGAGUCUGGAGUAUGUUGGUGGAGCACAUUCUCUUCUGCUCACUCUUCUGUGUUGGGCCUGAAGAACACUGUGGAAAACCAGAUGGACUCAAAAAUUGCAAGAAGCAGUAGCAAAGGAUUUAAAUCAGGUAAAAUUACAAGUGCUUUGGGAGGUUGUGCUGUAGAUUCCAAGUUGGCAUCUCUUUUCAUUCUCAAUGUAUCUUUACCCCAUGUGCUGUCAUGACCCUUUAUUCAACCUCGGCUUGGAUGACAUUUCUGCUACCUUCCAGGAAAGGAAUUGUUUUUUUGCAGCAGCUCCCUCUCUUAUUCAUUUUGAGAAAAGGAUUAAAUACUCCCUCUGACCAAGCUUACAGGCAUGCUAAAGUGAAGCCACUUCAUGCUCCUGGCCAAACAAAGAACAAAAAUACCCACAAUAAGCAAAAGCAGAUGGCUUCAGUGGCAGGAAAUGAAUGAGCCAGACUGCAGGUAAAAUGGAUCUCUGAACACAUCGUGGAGGUUUGCACUGACAGGUUCUUUGUUAUCUGGGGCCUCCCCACAGGAGGCCAGAUGUCUCCUGUUGUGAGAGGAGAUAGAGAUGCUCUUCCUUUUCCUCCCCCUUUAACUUAUGGCUGUUUAAGUUACUGCUAAUGGAAGCAGAAGCCUGUUUUUCUCUCUUGGUCUCUGAUGUUUUUGGAAACAGAAGAGAUAGUGAAGGGGUAUUCCCAUAUGAAAGAAAAGGCCCAGAACUGGCCUUUACCUCCCCAUGACCCUCAACUUAAAGAACAGGGAGGUCAGUGCUGCUAAUUGCACUUGAAAGGAUUAACCACUUGAUUGCUUUCAUUUAGUGGAACAAAAUUUUUCUUUAGUCUCAAAGCUGGGGAAAUGUAUCAGUUGUACUAAGAUGCUUUCAGUGUGAGAUGGAUGACGUGGUUUGGCUUCUUAUACCAAAAUCAAAAUUAAAUAAAAGGAUGUAAAUAUUUUUAUAUAUAUGAGAGAAAGGGCAACUACAUCUGCUGCUCAGACAGGACAGAUUUGCAACAGAAGUGACAAAAACCUCCUUCCUGCCCCCAUAAAUGGUUAUCAGAGGAAUAGCAACAGACUGUAACUAAUUACAGAUAUUAGGUGUGCCUCUGUCCCUUGGUAUAACAAAUGAUUCUUGCAUUACAGUGAGGUUGCACUGGAAGAAAAAGAAUCUGAACCCAGUUCCUGGACACAGUAUGCCAGAUUUAAAAUCCUUUCUGUACAUUAACUUCAUCUGAGAGUUAAAACUAAUUUGCUUUUGGAAAAGGUUCUUAAUUCCCAUUGUUCAAAUAAAGUGAGAUACACAAAACUUAAAUUUGGAAACAAUUUUUCACCUUAUGAAACUAUUUUCCAAAAGUAACGAAGAACAGCUUAUACAAGCUUUUAUCUGACCUCUGCUUCUUAAAUAAAAAACAUGUUUUCAGGGAAAUCUGUCUUGGAAAUAACUCCCCAUCUCCCCCCAGAUUUUUCUCUCUGGUUCUUGUAAAACAUUAGGUCAGUGAGUUAAUUUUAUGUUUGUUUGUUUAAAGUGGGUGAAAGUUUGCUUCUCAAGCUAUUAUACUUGUGUGAUUUAAAAAAAAUAAUACAACAACCUUUGUUUAAGAAAUACAAGAACAGACUGAAAUAUCAAAAGAUUAUCAAAAUUCAUACCAAAAGAAAUAACAUAAAUAAUUUAAAAAAGCCAAAAUAACUUUUCAAUAGCAAUAAGAACCAAAUGAAUAGGUAGUGUUGUUUCAAUAGCACUGAGUCAUGACUGCUGAUUUUUCUCAUUGCUUGGCACGUGAACUCAAUAUAUAGGUAGAUAUAAAAAUUAUCUUUCUCAUUCUGACUUCAAGCCUGUGUUUCCUGUGGUGCUGUUAUAGUUCAUGCACAUUUCAUAAUUUCAUAGCAUAACCAGCAUUUUGUUCUGCAAGUGGGGACAUGUUGUCCACUGAAAUGCAUUUUUAUAUGCACUUGUGCAGAUAAGCACACCAGUAUGAGGUAUGAUGUAAGAGAGUGUAUUUGUAGCUUGUGUUUGAAGCAACAUUAAGAUUUCACUAUCUUGAAGCAUUAGAAAUGCAGUACAAACCAGCUAUUUGAGCCUGUAUGGACUGCUGUGUAAGUAUAAAAACAUUUUGUUGAAGUAUUUUCCAAGACACUAUUUCUAUGUUCACCAGGGUGUGUGAGUGCCCUCCUAGAGAGUAUGCUACAAGUGACAACAAAAACUUGGAUGUUUUGUUUAAAAAAUAACCUAUUGUAAUUUUUCAGUCUGUCACUUUGACAAGACAUAUUUUGUCUUUAGUAACACAUUUCUAAGAAUAUUCAGAAAUAUUUAUCCAUCUUAUAUUUUAACUCUAAUGAAACAUUUUUUUCUGCUUUAGGAAUAUAAUUAUCAAUGUAUGAUCUAAAAUAUAUUCAUAGAACUCUGCUCUCAAGCUCAGGUCUAUUAUUUCUGCCAGCACUGGCUGCACUGGUGUAGCUUGGCAAAACUGCAUUCACAAGUGAUGACUUUGACAGCAGCACUACACCUAUGACAAAACUCCCAUCAGCACAAAGUCUUACUUAGACUGUUCUAAUCUGCCCCAUUACUGCAAAAGGAAAAACAGAGCAGAUUCACAGCCUGCUUAGUUUAAGGAAGCCUCAGAAAUAUUGUGGUCAGAACCAAUAUUUGUGGUGCCUAAAAUGUGCCACAGUGAUAUUAAUAAUAAUAAUGAUAAUGUAUAACAGUAAUAAACACUUAACUAAAUUUGUUUGAAGAAGUCUAAAAUUACCCAAGAAGUUGAGAAUAACCCUAAUAUAAGAGAACGUGAAUGGUACUACAGAAAUCAUACAUUGUAUAACAGUGUUUAAAGAGACCACUUUUUUAUUACUAGAAGAAUUUCCCAGAAUUAAUCUUGAAAGUAUAUAACUCAUAUUCAAUUAAUGUGCUCUUUCAUUCUCUAUUGCUGCCACUCUCUCCAGCAACUAAACACCAUCUGCUCAUUCAGUAAGCCUUUGAUGCCACGAAGGCAAAAUCAGCAUUGCUGUGUAAAACACAAAGAAAACAUCUGCCAUAAGUAUUAGUAACAAUGAAAAGCCAGCAUGCUAAUUCCUGCUUACAGUUAAAAGAUAUUACUCCUUUUACUCUAGAGGGGCAAGUCCUCCACUCCCAUCUCAGGAACUGUGCUCAUCACAGUGAGCACAUCAGGCCUGUAGGUUGAAGUACAGCAAUAUUUAGGAAAAUGUAAGUGUUUUCAAAUAAGUAACUCUAAUCAGACUGCUCAUGUGAGCAGUUGUACAACCUCAAGUGUGCAGAAGGAGGUCUGCAGCUCACUUCUGGACAUUAUUUGGAGUACAGUCUAUUUAAAAAAAAAAUCCUAGUUAUGUUUGUGCCAUUUAUUAUUAGAAAAAAAAGUAGUGUCAUGCACUGAGAGACAGCUUACUCUUUUCCUGCACAACACUUGGCAUCUUUAAUCAAUGUAUACAUAAAUGAAAAGAAAAAAAGCAGAUUAUCAUAUUGUCCUUUGUAGCUCUCUUUCAAAAUCUCCUGAUGAUAGUCCACAAGGAAAUAAUAAAUUGCUUCUAUUGUGGAAAGGUAUGUAUCUGGUUUUCCCUUCUGAUGACGCCAAAAGCAAGUUUUCCUUGUCUUCAACUCAAUUUGCAGUAACCCUGUCAAGGAAAAAAAAAUGACCUAGAUUAGACAAUGUGGAUUGGUGGCAAGAAUGUCAAACAAGACUUUAGUUUUGUUUUCUGACUUUGCUGCUAGCCUGCUCAGUGCCUGCAUGAAAAUAAUUUCUUUUCCUGUACCUACAUUUUUCAUCUCUAAAACUGAGGCAAUAAUUUUAUCCUCCUUUUUGGACCACUUUGGAAUUUGAUGAAGUGCUGUAAGUCCCAGGUUACAAUCUCCAAAUCUGCAGUUAAUUAUAAGUUAUCCUUUCAUUCAAACAGCCACACAGCCCUCAGUAAACUGCAAAGUUGUUUCACGUGGCAAGAGUGAAACUCACAUCUACCAAGACUCACCAAUGUUCAGAAAAUUAUUUCAUCUUUUGCACAGUUAAUACUUUUCAAGAGUAAAACAAAAUCCCUUAGACUAUCAGUGUUGCUCAAGUGAGAACUAUUUGCAAGAGUCAGGAACUUUAAAUUUCUGCUUGUUAAGUAACUGAAAUUUCACUGAAAUUACUCAGGAGUAAGUAUGACUGCAUCUUGUAGUUAACUUUAUUAGAUACUAAAAGCAUUCCCACUUAAGAUGAAAGAUGAAAUUUGGUGUCUGUAUGGCACAAAAAAAUCUUCAAUCUACUUACAGUCUCUGUAACUAUUCUAUUAUUCAGAUGAAAUUUAAACAGGUAUCUUAGUUUUUAUGUCUCCUAAGAUGCACAAACUAUUCAAAAUGGAAACCAACUUAAUUAUCACUUUGUAAACAGGAUGGGCACUUGGAUCAUGAAGAACAGGGUACACACCUGUCAACAAUAUCAGAAGCAGAUUGUGAAGUUACCUUUUUCUAUCAUACUCUGAUACUCUGUCUCAUGGGACAAUUUAGUACAGGUAACAGUACAAAAACUAAGAAUUGCUUGGAAGUUAUGGACAGGGAAGUUUCAGUAAGGUCCAAAUUCAGGCCAGAGCCCAGCACUUGUAAUUGCACACUUUUAGCCUACAAACCGUGUUGAAUUCUUUUCAGUGUAAUCACAAGAGGAAUUUAAUUGUUUGCUUUGCAGGUAGAGGUAGUAAUGUAUGGUAUCCCGCAUUGUGGAAGAAAUCUCAAUUACAGGAUUUAAAAAAAACCUGAACAGGAGAGUCUGUCCCUGAAUUUAAAUGUUGUUAUUGGCAUUUCAGAACCAAAACCUCAAAACAGCAUAGUCUAAUUAUUACCUCUAAUAAUGCUACAUAUGUGAAACUUAUAAUAGCAGUAGGAAACUGCAUCAAGAUUGUUGCCCUCAAGAGUUUUCAACACUUGAAUUCUCAGCCCUAAUGAAAGUGUAAACUUCCAUCAAAUCCACAGUUCUUUCACCAUAAAAGCAGUGAAGUAAAUCUCAGGGAUGAUUCCUCCAACGUAAACUCCCACGUAAUUGUGGUUUGAAUACAAGCAAAAGUUCACUGAAGGCAAGACCAUGGACACUACUGAGGUUUCCACAAGUGCAGUAUCAGUAACUUUCAAACAAAAGACUUUAGGGCCUUUCAUAAAAAACCCCAAAAAACAGAGGGGGUUAAGGAUAAAAGUUCACUGAGCAUUUUUCAUCUGUACUGGAUCUGUACACAGCCAAAGGCAAUGUUUGCUUAAAAAUAUGCACUGUUCACAUGAAACCCCACAAUACUUAUGAAUAAGCUAAUAAAAUAUUUGGCUGAUACAAAGCAGUUCAAACUUAAAGGGAAAAAAACCCCAAGCAAUCAGUUUCUUUAACAAUCAUUGUGAUAUUGCCAAUAAGCUCCAUCACUCAUGCGAGAAAGUCAUCAUUAACAUUAGAUUCAACUGUCUUCUGAUCUAGGGAUCACUUUUAAUGAAGUAAUCAAUCCUAAACAUUACCAUCUCUCAUGUAUUUCUUGUCUUUAGCUGAUUUGGUUUUGUUUUCUAAAGAUAUAUUAAGCGCUUUUCCAAGAUAUAGAAGUAUAUUUUGUCCAAGUUCUCUCAGCUUAUUUUAAGAUCGAUGUACUCAUUUGCUUUCUCUUGCAGCACAAUUUACUAGAUUUACUGUCUAUAUAAAUACAGGCUUACAAAACACAAGGCAUUUCUUUAGGUUUUCUUGGCUUCAUUAAUGUUUUCAUUCAAUAUUUCUUGUAACUUAAUCUUAAUAAGUAUGGCAAUUACUUUUUAUUUGGAAUUAUGAUCACUUCUUUUUGAACUUGAACAUAUGAUGGAUAUUUUGUUGGAUGAUGACUUCAUUUGCAAUUGAACUGAAAAAUGAAAACAGUUCUCUAUUUUUCAUGUAUGUACAACAUAAAAAUGUCAUCAGUUUAUGCCUAAGGAAACUCUGCCCCAUUCAUCUUGGAAGUGAAAACUGCAAUCUCUAAAAGGGGUAUUAAUGCAAUUUAUGUUCUUUACGACAAGCACUAAGGAAAGCGAUACAUGCACAGGCUGUGCACACUGUUACACCCAACGUGUGGAUGGGUAAAAUUCUCCCAUACUAGAAACUGACUUGCAUGACACUAUCAAACCUCACAGCAACCCUGAAAGGUGCCCAGGAACCCAGGGGGCUGCAAAACAGCUGGAAAUGACUGAGAUGUUCCAGAAAGCAGAGAGCAGUCCACCAAAUCAGCAUUGUCACGGGGAAACUGGAAACCAUUCAAGAGCUCCAAAGUAACACCAAUUAAGACUUUUUAACUAUAUGUAUAUAGUUAAAACUAUACUAUAAGUAACACCAAUUAAAGUAACUUUAACUAUAAGUAACACCAAUUAAAACUUUUUAGCCUAUAUGCAUAGGCUUCCAUGGAAAUUUUCAGUUCCCCUGGCUGCCUGUUAUUUUCCUUGAAUUUGUCCUCUUAAAAGAAGUUUCAAAUGCCUUACAUUACAUGCAAAAUGCAAUUCCUCUAAUCUUUACAGUAAUACUUCAAUGUAGCUGAUAGAGUAUGUUUCGUGUUAAACUAAAUACUUAUAACAAGAUUUUAAUUACCCAAUACAUCAUACAUGUGGGAUUCUUUCAUAAACUGACUAGACAGCAAGGCCACAUCCAUCUUCUAUGCAAGAAAGUCUGUGAAAUUCCUUGUAGGAUUCAGUAUGAAGCAGUAGUAGUGUGUAUAUAUAUAUAUAUAUAUAUAUAUAUAUAUAUAUAUAGAAUGCUUAAAUGUAAACUUCUUGUAAAGAACCUAAGACAAAAACUUUUUGCAGAAUUACCGGUUUCUGCUCUCAGAGUUGGAAGGGUGUGGAGGGCAAGCAGCCAUUCCCUUUUUGUCUGGAGUAGUAAGAUCAUGGAAACGUCCAUUAAAAACUUCAGGAGAAAGAGAACCCAAGCCAUGACAAACCUGUGCUGAACCUCAUUUACCUUCUUGGGGCCUGUCUGCCACAAACAUGGACACAAAUGGUCCCGUGGGUCUCUGGAAAGCAGGCAGCCACCUGCAAAAGGAUCUUCUGGCUUCCUUCAGAAGCCAUUCAAACCACUGUUCUACUGUCUAACAUGGCAGCUCCUGUUCUGUGAGACUGAGGAAAUUUGCUCCAAUAGAGAAGUGAGACAAAUAAAUGUAAAUGUUUUCUCAAUACUAAUAUUACCUUUUUGCAAAAUAAAUUAUAUGACAUGAAAAGUAACAGAGUCUUUGGGUCAGGAAGUAUUUUACAACCCUGGAACAGGCUGCUGAAUCCUUCAUAUACACUCAGAGAUAGGGGUACAUACAAGCUUACAUUGUGCUCAGGUCUGUUAUAGACAUAGGUCCUUUAAUUAUUUCUGCAGCAAUAAUGCCUCAGUAUCAACUUGUAUUUUUUUACCUUGAAGUCGUUCAUCAGUUAUUAUCUUAUUAGUUUGAUUCCAGGUACUGUCAAUAAAUAUUAUUUUCUUCAGUCUAGCGCCUUCACUCCUGCUGCUUGAGAUGCAUUCAUUUGGAUUUUUUUCUUCUUCAGGUUCUAUUUUUGCUUUUUUAAGAAGGGGCUCUCUGGAACAGUCAUUGUCACUAGAACAGACACCUUUCUUGGUGUACUUUUGGAGAUGGAAAGCAAUAUCUUUUACUGAAACUGAAUUGGGGCCAGGAAAUAUAAGUGCUACCUAAAAGAACAAAACAAAAGAGAUCUGAGUGUCAAUAAAAUCUAAUAGAACAACAGGAACUGUUAUAUUAAAGAACAGACAUUUUCUACCAUGUCUAUAAACAUUUAACUCAGGACAGCAUGAAAUAGUAUCUCUUAAAAAUAUUCUAUAGUCUAAUACGGUGUUAAAUCCAUGUUAAAAGCACGUUAAUGAAUUAAGAUCCUUAACAGAGAUUUUUAAUUAAUGUUAUUUCCAUGCCUCUACUACCAACUCUAACACUUCUGGAUAAAAAGAUUUUUCAUCCAAGACAAUGGUGUCAGCCCUGAGGAAGUUCAAAUGUCACUUGUCACUGCAGUAUAUGGGGCAGGAGGGCCAAAAGGGAUAGUUUACCAUUUAAAUGGACAUAUACAUCCAAGUUUAUAACUCACUUUUUUUGUGCUCUAUGCUAUGACUUGAGUCAAGACGUGAAUUUUAGUUGUUUUCCUGUGUGAUAGUCAAUGUUAAAAACUUUAAAAAGGUUUAAAUACUGAAGCUGCUAAAUAUGAGCAUAACAUUCAACUGCUGUUUAACUUGCUCAAAUUUGAAUUCUUUCAUUUACAGGCAAAAUAUUUCUUCAGAUACACAGUAAACCCUAUCUCCAUUAUGUGAGGAGAUAAACAUAGAAAAUUCAAGGUGGUUAAAUAGUGCUGCAGUCUUUCUCAGCUUUGGAGAAAAGGUUACAGUCCAGAACUGUGUGUUUGCAGUUAAGCUUUCAGAGAGCACAGGAUGGGAUGCACUAAUGGAACAGUGGUUUCCUCCCUGCAGGGCACUAUCACUGCAGGAGGAAGCUGCAUCUCCCCAGCAUUAAGCCUGGCUAUCUCUAGAGGAUCUCUUACUUCGUGUCUGCUCUCUCCAUACUCUGGAAUGCAAGGGUAUUUAUAAAUUGUAACGUCCUCAGGUGCCAGGAGCUUAGCAUGCACAGCAGUGCUUUUGCCGUCAGUUUCGUUUGGGUGCUUGAUAAUGUCAAUCUUCAAAGGCAACUAGAGUAAAAGAAGAAAAAAGCAGUAUUUAUCAUCAUAUUUACAAACAUCUAUACAAAACAUUCAAAAUUUGGAAGAAAUUCCUAUAGGUGUGUAAUUAAAAUGUAUCUGAUAAUUUUUGAUAGGUUUAGAACUAAACUGGAGACAAGUUAGAAGAAGCACCUAUUAAAUUCAAUUUAAGCAAAUAGCUAAGUAAACAAUGAUGCACUUUGGAAUGCUGCCACAGUAGCAUAAAUAAAAUCUCCAGAAACAGAAUCAAUAAGAAGAGGCUGUUUUUACAAUGUGCUGGUUGCAGAAGGAGUGGCUGUGUUGAAUCUGUUGAUGAGCUUUACUUUUUGGUGGGUAAGUUACAAAAAGAUUAUUCCUUUAGUGUUAUGUGUAAAUAUCUGUAUGAACAUCAGAGCACACUCAGACUUGGAGAAGAGAAGAAACACAUGUCACUGAAGCCCAGAAACGUGCUCAAAAAGUCUUCUCAUGCCAGUGUGGCCCUGUGUAUCUAGAGGAACAUCUCACUGCCCUUGAACAGAGCACCCAGCAGGCAUUGGCCCAGAUAAGUGUUUACAGCUUUCCCUCUGUGAGUGUGAAGUGUCAAGUUUAUAAUUUGAAAAAAACUAAUAAACUAAACGCCCCAGGUCUGCCUGGGUUUUAGGAACAUUUUGUUUCGGCCUAAACAAAGUGCAGGCAAAAGUCUAUGCAAGCCUGUUCUCCACAGAGUGAGGUGUUAAUAAAGGAAAGAUGGACCUAAAAUGGUCACUUCCAAGCCUGCAGUCCUUCCAGGGAUGCAGGGGUCCUGUACAGUGUGUUAAGUUGUGCAGAGUGAAGGACAGAUAUAAAAUUCAGGUGGUUGAACUGCCUUGAUAAACUCUGUGUCUGGACACUGAACUGUUGAUAGCACUUGCCACAAAACACAAAAGCAACAUUUUUGAGGAAAAGUGUUAAAAGCACACCCAGGUUGAAGUUGACAAUGUACAGAAGUAAUCACUAAGUCCUAAAAAAUAUUAAAUGUCUUUUUCUUCCCCACCAUAAAGCCUAAUGUCUUGGCACCCAAAGAAUGGCUGUAGAUCUUACUGCUUGCACUGGGUAAAAGUCUUAUGUGAGUUUAUAAUCUGCAGCUAUUCCUCUUAGGGACAUUUGUAAUACACUGACAAAAGCUGAUGAUGCUUUCUGAAAUGCCUCCUUUGGUGGACUGAUAACAUUUUUUAUUUGUGCUUAAAGAUGUGCAAAUAUAUACCCAGACAAGCAAGAUGCAAGAAAUAUGGAAAUCCUAUUAGCACUUCUUCACACAGUUUUGGUACAGCUCAGGAUCAAUGCUUGCCUCCUAGAACAUGUUAGUCCAAUCUACUUUUUAAUUGUGAUUAUUUACAAUAUUUCUGUUCUUACAUAUUUUUAAAUUAUGUUAUAGAUUUAAUACAACAGAUGUGACUGGAUGCCUUACUAAUUUUGUAUCAAACAAAAACAUUUUUGUGGUUUAAACUUUAGAUGUUUAGACAUUUGAUCUCAGGUUUACUGAAAAUUGAAAAAAAAAAUCACUAACAGGUUGAGAGAGUUGCAGGUAUCUGGCAAAUGCAAAUCAGUCCUUGUGUUUUUACAGCCUAAUGUUGAGAUACCCAAAGAAGCUGCUUUUGUUUCUCUCAAUAAAAGCUAAAUGUUCCCCUGCAAGUUUUUCCCUUCAGUACUUCUGCAAGCUGAAAGAAGUUCCUAUAUGCUUGUGGAUUGUGUUUCAAAUUAAAAUCCUUGUACUUUUUACCUUUGUCUAGUUAUGGUUUGCUUUGUGGUUUUAAGAGUUUUUAAAUCCCUGCAUUCAUUGUACUGAAUAUUUUUGUUGUUUUGAUAGAAAAUUGUUCUCUAAGUCUGGAGAAAUCUGUUUCUCUCAAAAUAAUCUAUUGCAGUGCUUCAGGAUUCUUUGUGGUCAUGGUUUCUCCAGAAGUUUAACAUAUAAAUUGAUUUUAAAUGUUCUUAUAGCUGUUAUUAUGAAACAAAAAAUCUGCAUAUCCCACAAGUACAAAAAUGCAAGUGUUUUACUCAUGCAGCUCAACUGCAUCAGCUGUAGGUCCAAGAUUACCUUUUCAUGUAAAUUUAAGGAGCUGUAGUUGAGCAUAUGAAGAAUUAGUUUAGUUAGCAGGUUUAUAUCAUGAAGCUUAAAAUAAACUUUUAGAUGAAAUUGACUGUUUAUUUUACUUUGCUUACUUUGUGUAAUGGUGCUAAAAUUUAUAAAAGGUAUCAGUUUGGAAUAUUUAGGUUAAGAGCAUAAAUCAAAAGUGUGUGGGUUCUGUUACCUCAGAUGAUCACUAUGUUCUUUAUUAAGAAGAGGAGGAAACUAUUCCUGUGGCAGAAGCUGUGAUUAUGUACACUGGCUUUGGUUCAGUACAUCACUUAGAUUCUGUCUUAAUUGUUGGCUGAUAAACUUAACAUAUGCUUCAGAUAAUGCAUGUUUUUCAGUGCUGUUCUGAAUCAGGAACUACUUCAAUUUACUCAAAACCAAUUAAACACUUAGAAGUCGUUAAAAUGUUUAGAAGAACGACGUGUUGGAGUAAGAGAGGGCACUAAUUUAGGGAUAUGUGUUUUGGUGCUGUUCCUUUGUGUUGGCAGUGCCUCCCCUCAGAUACCUGAGGGUUUGACAACCCAAGUUGUGCAGCACUGUUUCGCACACAGCCAUAUCUGAAUUCAGGUAGGUAUCUUUGCCCUGAUUUUUUUCCCCCUUGAAGCCUAACCAAGAGCACUUGUUUGACAGAAUGGCAGAUUUUGUGGUACAUUUUCUUCAUGUUCCCAGGCAUACUAAAGAUGCUUUUUCUCAGGUAAGAGUACCAGUAGCAUUUUCAGUGAUACAUGGGUGGCUGCUGCAUUUUGGUACAUAAAAGUAUUAAUGUGACACACAAGCCAAUGUACCUGCAUCCAGAUUGGCAGCUUUUGGCUCCAGAAGAUACCUGGAAGCACUUGCAUGUAAGUACCUGAGAGACAGAGCAACCAGAACUGGUGAGGAAAAGCUGGAAGUUAUCAUGGGCAGUCAUUAAAGAGAAUUUUUUUGGCUCAUAUAAUAUGUGAAUAGUAAAAUGAAGAUAAUAAAUGAUGUGAUUUUUAAAAGCUUUCUUUUCUCUAACAGAAGUUUGUUGCAAUUGUGACAGUUCACUUAAAUAUUUUUACAUUAAUUAAAAAAAUUACAAUAUGAAAUCUUUUUUGUAGACAUUUUAGAUAUGGUGUUAUUUUGUCAAGUGUAUCCUGAUAUCCAAGUCAUUGUGUUGCUUUUUGGGCAGUAUUUCCUGAAUCUAUUAAGUAUGUUGAUGAUGACUUUAAGGAGGGAUUGGUAGACUUAGUUUUUCAGUGGGUAUCAGGUACUGGUAGUUUUUUUCCUUUCCCUGGGGUAUAUUUUGCCCAGAGUACCAGCUGUGCAUUUCAGUGAGAACCUAUCACCUUUAUUAUCUGUUGCCUUGUGUGUGUAAUGCCAUACAUGUAUACAUACAUAGGAAAUGCAGUACUAGAAAUACUGAUGUCAAAGCUAGCUUUUUCUGCUCAGUAAUAAUAAUUAUGAUGAGUUCUUAAUACUGGUUGUAGGUGUACAAAUAUGAAUAAUUAUUUUAAAACAGUACCCUGGAAAUGAAUCUGAACUAAUUAUCCAUGGCAUUAUUUUUCCUAAAGAAAAACAAAGUGGAUCAAACAGCUCAAAACGAUUUUUGCAAAAGCAACUGUUUGUAGGUGGCCUUGAAGGUAUCUCUCUAUAAAAAAGAGCCACUUUUUACAAACAUUCUUACAGAAUUCAGACUAUACCUGUCCUAGAAAUUUCUAUUGGAAGUAGUAUUACAUUGCCAUUAAAGGAAGUAGUAUUAUAUUACCAUUGAAUACCUGCAUGUUUUGACAGUAAAACUUUAUGAUUUUUAGAUUGCAUAUGUCAUUUGAUAUCCAUUCCAAAACUUAGAUUUAGAGCAGAUUUCUAUCUCUAGUGCUCAUUUAUUUAGAUUUCAUGGCAAUGUGGAUUUCAUUAUCUUAUAUGUUGAAACUGAUUGACAAAUGCAAAAGAAAUAUGUUUUUGAAGUAAAUGUAAAAUACAGAAAUAUUUUCUCAAAAUCUUUCUCUGUGUCAGUCACUGUGUGUUGGGCAGAAUUUUCUUUUUAGUUACAGACAGAGAAAAUUGUAUGUAGGAAAAAGAUCACCCUGAAAAAUUUAAUUUAGAGAAGGUUUAUAUACAUCAAAGUUAUACAUGCUCCAAACUCCUAAAGGGCCUUUAACUUGGAAGAGCUGGAUAAGCCCACAGCGUUCUCUGUAAUGUGUAACCACUAUAAACAGAUAAUGGAUGGAUUUAAGUGAAAUUUAGUCAGAGCAGAAAAAAUCCCAGAACUCCAGGAGACCACUGCUAUGGCACAGAGUCUGUGUCUGCAUGAAACUUACGGUGUGGGAGCUGUGUGAAAUUCGAGUGGAAUGAAGACUGAAAACCACGGAAUAAAGUAAAUUAAGUAUUGCUGCGAGAGUAAUUCGCAACCUCAACAAAACAUAUGCAAAUGUAUUAAAUUACCAGAACUGGAACGACCACAAAGUAAGGAUAUUCACCCAUGUGCAAACCCAAGCAGAAGCAGAAGGGAGAUAGCAAAAACUGUUCUGGUUGACUUUAAGUAUAUGAAUGUAAUUAUUUCAGUUAACAGGCUUGGAUCUCAUGCCUAAAGUUGACAGUGGCAUAAAAACUUGCACAUUUGAGACAGGAAAUAAAGCAAUUUUAAUUUCAUUUGGGGAUAUUCAUAGGGUGGUUUUCAAAAUUCACAUAAACGUUUUUCUAAAUUUUUUUUUUUUUUAAUUUUAGGUCCAAAACCAAGGAAAUGUUUGUGGAAUAAAUGGAAUCUCAAAAGCCUUAAGGCUGCCACAGUAAUUCAUAUUAGUAAAGAUGCUACUGCUAAAAUACAAGCUGGUGCAUCUGCCAGUUCUGCAGCAGCCAUUUAGUCUUGUAAAUAUUUUAAACACAUAAUCCAUGUGACCAUAGACUUUGGAAUUAAAUUUAUAGUACACUGCAAAUUCUUAAUUGCCAACACAAAUUGUUACUAAUAUUUUCAGUUUAUUUUGCACAAACCCAAAAUGUUAAAGCAAUUAAAAAUUAAAUGUGAAUUUUGAUCAACUCUAAACAUAUAUCCUGCCAAUAUAUUGAUAAGUCAAUUGGAUUAAGCUGUGAACAAAGCAUUGAAAGGAGCUGCUGAUAAUCCAUCUUGGUUUGAUUUGUCAGUUUUCUUAUACUAAUGACAGCCACUCUUUUUCUACUCCUUUCUCUGGUACUGGAUCCCAUUUUCAGUAUGUCUUGCAUUGUAGCCUCUUUUACCCCCUUGUUUUCACUGUCACGAUGGAUCAGACCUGGAUUUUUAUUAUUUCAGUCUAGCCUUCUCUUCCUUCUCAUGGCCACUACUUUAACCUUUUUUUCUUAACCAUCUUGUGUUGAUGUUGCUUCUAACUUGCUCCCUUUCUGAAUAUUAUCCAGCAUUUUUUUUCCUUCAGGGUAGCCAGUUUCUUCUCUCUUCCCCCUUCUGAAAUUAUUGUUUUCCUUCAAGCAUCUACAGCCACAAUUUUAUGCAACCCAUCUUCUCUUAAUCCUUUUUUUAGUCUGCACCAACCAUAACCACAACUUUUCUUAUCCUUGCCUUUUUCCCCCCAUCAUUUGUUUUGUUUUCAUGGGCUCUUGUGCUUUUUCUGAAUUUAGAUAAUUCCCCUUUCACCAAGGUAGGAAAACCUUACUUUUGUUGUGAAAGAAUUCAGAGGAAAAUAACGGAGCAAAAACUUCUAAGUUUGCAUUCCCAGUUUUCAGUGACACCACUCUGAUACCUUUUCUCUACAGCUAGGUUAAAUGCCCAGGAAGAGAUGGUGGGCUGUCUCUUGUGUGUGUUCUUGUUAAGCAGAGGAGGUUUGGAACGUGCUGUACUCAGAAAUCUGAAUUAAUGAGGUACUGCAGACACGUCAGAGGAUGGGAAGAGUUCUGUCAUGUGCCAUUAUUUCCACAAAGCUUUCUCUUGUAAUGUGGGUGUGAAAGAGCUGUGUGAGGCUAUCUAAGCAAAGUGGAGAGUUCUUCUUGAGACCUAGCUGAGGGAUGUAGUGUCUACAAAUGAAUAUGGCUUUAUAGAAUCUUUGUACAGAUUGCCUAUGCACAGUUCACUUAAUAAAGUGAAAUAUCUUUUGCUGUCAUUGUGUAUUGCCUGUUAGCUUUCCUGAAUAAUUUUCCUUUUUUACUUUAGUGUUUUUUUAUAAGUACAAUUAAUGUGGUUUCUUUAAAAUUGAAAGUCUGUGUUACUCUUAUCAAGUUACAGUCUUGAAAGGAAAUUCUUGUUUACAGAAUCCUUUUUUUGUGUGUUGCUCAGUUUGCUGUACAGUGUUUAGAAACAGAAAUGUAUCUGUGUUUUUGAACACAGGAACGUUUGGGUACUUUUUUAAACCCAAAAAUCUAAACCCAGUGGAAACAUUUGCCUGAUUUUUAUAAAAUCUAGUGGUUCCAUUCCAGUAUAAUCAUAUUUCCUUUUAGAGCUUGAUACUUCACUAGUAUAUAGAAACAAGAAUAUGAAAACAAGUAGAAAGUGAUUAUUUGUGAAGCAGGGUCAAUAAAUCACCUCAGCUGUUUAUUAACACGUCUGACCUCAGGGUGCCUGUUAUAAUGACAAUAAUUUUGAAGUCACUGUAGCCUUUGUUUUGAUGUUUUUUUGCCAAGAUGCAAUGACUUUUUUUUCCUGUGGCAAUAAAAUAAAAGGGAGAAGCCUUACUAUUUUAGCCCUUCCAGUAGUGAUCUAUCUUAGGCUUUCAGGGUGCUUGCAGUUUUGUUUAAUAAUCUUGUUCACUUUCAUGGCCAGUGAGUAGUUACUUGUUCGGAUCCACUUUUGUGCCUGGUGAAAUCAAUAGGAAUAAGGUGCAUAGGCAAGUUAGCUGAAUUAUUAACCUCUAACAGUCUCAUCCCAUUUUUCUGCACUGUGCAGUAACGUCACAGUAACUCAAGAAGGAAUAAACAGCCUUACCCUGUUUGCUGGGGUG